rnacentral:rRNA from 1 species
AGAGUUUGAUUAUGGCUCANAACGAACGCUGGCGGCAGGCCUAACACAUGCAAGUCGAGCGCACCUUCGGGUGAGCGGCGAACGGGUGAGUAACGCGUGGGAAUAUGCCCGAUACUACGGAAUAGCCUCGGGAAACCGAGAGUAAUACCGUAUACCCCCUUCGGGGGAAAGAUUUAUCGGUAUCGGAUUANCCCGCGUUGGAUNNGGUAGUUGGGUGGGGGUAACGGCCCACCAAGCCGACNAUCCAUAGCUGGUUUGAGAGGAUGAUCAGCCACACUGGGACUGAGACACGGCCCANACUCCUACGGGAGGCAGCAGUGGGGAAUCUUGGACAAUGGGGGCAACCCUGAUCCAGCCAUGCCGCGUGAGUGACGAANGCCCUAGGGUCGUAAAGCUCUUUCAGCUGUGAAGAUAAUGACGGUAGCANCANAANAAACCCCGGCUAACUCCGUGCCAGCA